GCCCCUCCUCCUGUAGCCAGGCUCCGCCCCCUCCCGAGGCCUUUUCAGCUGCACACCCUGCUCUCUGGACCCUUCUGCCUGCUGACUAGAGUGCGGCAGUCUGCCGUGCUUUACGUCCAGCAGAGAGCGCUGCUUCAUCUCUGUCCUCAGCAGGCGAGGAGCCUCCUACCAGGACCUCGGUCUCCGCCCCAGGGCAGGUCGAGGCGUGAGCACCUGCUGGCCUCACCAACCCCAGGCCUCACCUUCCCACCAAGCCUGCUCUAGGCGUCUGGAGUGUGCGGUGCAGCAGAAGCGAGAAGAAGAAAUUCCAAGGAAAAGAAGAAAUAUAGACAAGCAAAUAUGCUUAUGGUCAUUCAAAACCAGAUGGUUGAGCAUGCUUGACUGCUAUUGACACUGUUUGAUUCCGAACAAAGGCUUGCAAAGUUCACCGGUGGGCCUCAGCUCUUCAGAUCCCAACUGUGAGCCGUCCGUAGGUCGCUCUCCGGCACACUGGCGGGGAAGGCCACCCAGAGGGCUGCGGACAGACACCCCAAACUGCACCCUCCAGAACUGAUCAGCGCCAGUUCCAGCUGCUUGGUUCCCUGAUUCCGGGAGCCCCUCCUUUGCUGAGCCCCCUCUACUCCACUGGGCCUCGGCCGGCCGGAGGGUACCCAGUGUAAAGGCAGAGGGCUCUGCUUCCAGUUCCAGCCCCACCUGGGAGCCUCCAGAAUUUUCCCUGGGGCGAGAAGCUGGGCUGUUGGAACAGGUGGGUAGCUCAGGGGAGAGGCGAGCAGCAGAGGAGGAGGCCCGCAAGUGGGUGACUCCAGGGCCUCGCGCCCUCGGGGUCUGGGAGCUGCUCGGGGCGCCCACCCGCUUCGGUGCAGGUCCAAGGGCGCCAGGAGUGCUCUUCCAGGAGCCUCCUUCACCCCCCCACCUUCCGCACCCUCAAGCUGGAACAACCUACUUGGGCUGGGGCAGCCCCUGGCCCCGGGGAUUCUUCCCCGGAGCAGCCAAGCCCGGCCCCUUCGUCCUGAGCCCCACCCUUCCCCUGC